UGGCAGUUAAAGAACAAAAACAGAGCAAUAAGCCUGCAUGGCUAAAUUUUCCCAGUGCCACUAACUGGGAGUUCAGCUGACUAAGACUGUGCAAGCCUAGCCCAUUUCGCUCACAGCAGGCAUG
rfam:Procavia capensis cont1.17953, whole genome shotgun sequence.